rnacentral:rRNA from 1 species
CUACGGGGGGCUGCAGUGGGGAAUCUUAGACAAUGGGGGAAACCCUGAUCUAGCCAUGCCGCGUGAGCGACGACGGCCCUAGGGUUGUAAAGCUCUUUCAGCAGGGAAGAUAAUGACGGUACCUGCAGAAGAAGUCCCGGCUAACUCCGUGCCAGCAGCGCGCGGUAAUACGGAGGGGACUAGCGUUGUUCGGAAUUACUGGGCGUAAAGCGCGCGUAGGCGGAUUGUUAAGUCGGGGGUGAAAUCCCGGGGCUCAACCCCGGAACUGCCCUCGAUACUGGCAGUCUUGAGUUCGAGAGAGGUGAGUGGAAUUCCGAGUGUAGAGGUGAAAUUCGUAGAUAUUCGGAGGAACACCAGUGGCGAAGGCGGCUCACUGGCUCGAUACUGACGCUGAGGUGCGAAAGCGUGGGGAGCAAACAGGAUUAGAUACCCCGGUAGUC